GUUGGUGUCAAUGGCGGUGAGGGUACACCCGUUCCCAUUCCGAACACGGAAGUUAAGCUCACCAGCGCCGAAGAUACUUGGCUGGAGACGGCCUGGGAAAAUAGGACGAUGCCAACA
rnacentral:rRNA from 1 species